AGGCGUUUAGCUCAGUUGGUUAGAGCACCGCGUUUACACCGCGGGGGUCUACGGUUCAAAUCCGUAAACGCCUACCA
rnacentral:tRNA from 1 species